CAGAGGGUGCGAGCGUUGUUCGGAAUUACUGGGCGUAAAGCGCGCGCAGGCGGCCCUUUAAGUCUACCCGUGAAAUGCCGGAGCUCAACUCCGCGCACGCCGGGGGAUACUGGGGGGCUGGAGACAUGUAGAGGCGAGCGGAAUUCCGGGUGUAGCGGUGGAAUGCGUAGAUAUCCGGAAGAACACCUGAGGCGAAGGCGGCUUGCUGGGCAUGAUCUGACGCUGAGGCGCGAAAGCGUGGGGAGCAAACAGGAUUAGAUACCCUGGUAGUCCACGCCGUAAACGAUGGGCACUAGACGCGGGUGGGAUCGACCCCUUCCGUGUCGCAGCUAACGCGAUAAGUGCCCCGCCUGGGGAGUACGGCCGCAAGGCUG
rnacentral:rRNA from 1 species